GAGCGAACGAGAGCGGAGCCAAUCACGAGCGUUCCGCAGCGUUGAGGAUUUAGCCUUAUGCCAGGGACGACACGGCCCUGUCGAAAGAUGAGUAGAGGGGAUACGCUGAUACGCACCAUAAGACGGUAUACGUCGUACGUGUGUGCUUGGUGGCCAUCUUUCGACAGGACUUGUAGAGGGAACUUCGUCUCCCAUCUCUGAGUGAUUCGGAUACGAAGUGAGUGUUUUCUACGAGUAUUGUGUACGCAAUAGAGAAAGAGCGAUUAUUAACUGGAAUUUUCAUCAAACGGGAGGCGAUCCUAAUAGAUCAGCUGGCGAGGGCCGCGAAGAGCCACGAGACAGAGCAUUGGGCUCCUUUCUUUUUAUGAAGCAAAGCAGUGUGAAAGAGGAAUCACUCGUCCCUUCGGAAGUGUAAUUUGUACAACUGAGCAGCGAAGCACUGUUUAUGUUAUGGAACCUCAAGGUCCUCAAGUCACACUCGUAGAAAAGGAUUUUAUGCCGACUGAAGAUGCCAACUUAAAUAGAAAUAAGGAAAACAUUUCAAACGACAAUGCAUUAAAGCAUAAAGCAGCGGAUGA